CUUAACCGGGCGUUAAGUUGCAGGGUAUAGACCCGAAACCCGGUGAUCUAGCCAUGGGCAGGUUGAAGGUUGGGUAACACUAACUGGAGGACCGAACCGACUAAUGUUGAAAAAUUAGCGGAUGACCUGUGGCUGGGGGUGAAAGGCCAAUCAAACCGGGAGAUAGCUGGUUCUCCCCGAAAGCUAUUUAGGUAGCGCCUCGUGAAUUCAUCUCCGGGGGUAGAGCACUGUUUCGGCUAGGGGGCCAUCCCGGCUUACCAACCCGAUGCAAACUGCGAAUACCGGAGAAUGUUAUCACGGGAGACACACGGCGGGUGCUAACGUCCGUCGUGAAGAGGGAAACAACCCAGACCGCCAGCUAAGGUCCCAAAGUCAUGGUUAAGUGGGAAACGAUGUGGGAAGGCCCAGACAGCCAGGAUGUUGGCUUAGAAGCAGCCAUCAUUUAAAGAAAGCGUAAUAGCUCACUGGUCGAGUCGGCCUGCGCGGAAGAUGUAACGGGGCUAAACCAUGCACCGAAGCUGCGGCAGCGACACUGUGUGUUGUUGGGUAGGGGAGCGUUCUGUAAGCCUGUGAAGGUGUGUCGUGAGGCAUGCUGGAGGUAUCAGAAGUGCGAAUGCUGACAUAAGUAACGAUAAAGCGGGUGAAAAGCCCGCUCGCCGGAAGACCAAGGGUUCCUGUCCAACGUUAAUCGGGGCAGGGUGAGUCGACCCCUAAGGCGAGGCCGAAAGGCGUAGUCGAUGGGAAACGGGUUAAUAUUCCCGUACUUGGUGUUACUGCGAAGGGGGGACGGAGAAGGCUAUGUUGGCCGGGCGACGGUUGUCCCGGUUUAAGCGUGUAGGUGUGUGUUCCAGGUAAAUCCGGUUCACUUUAACACUGAGGCGUGACGACGAGGCACUACGGUGCUGAAGCAACAAAUGCCCUGCUUCCAGGAAAAGCCUCUAAGCAUCAGGUAACAUCAAAUCGUACCCCAAACCGACACAGGUGGUCAGGUAGAGAAUACCAAGGCGCUUGAGAGAACUCGGGUGAAGGAACUAGGCAAAAUGGUGCCGUAACUUCGGGAGAAGGCACGCUGACACGUAGGUGAAGUGAUUUACUCAUGGAGCUGAAGUCAGUCGAAGAUACCAGCUGGCUGCAACUGUUUAUUAAAAACACAGCACUGUGCAAACACGAAAGUGGACGUAUACGGUGUGACGCCUGCCCGGUGCCGGAAGGUUAAUUGAUGGGGUCAGCGCAAGCGAAGCUCCUGAUCGAAGCCCCGGUAAACGGCGGCCGUAACUAUAACGGUCCUAAGGUAGCGAAAUUCCUUGUCGGGUAAGUUCCGACCUGCACGAAUGGCGUAAUGAUGGCCAGGCUGUCUCCACCCGAGACUCAGUGAAAUUGAACUCGCUGUGAAGAUGCAGUGUACCCGCGGCAAGACGGAAAGACCCCGUGAACCUUUACUAUAGCUUGACACUGAACAUUGAGCCUUGAUGUGUAGGAUAGGUGGGAGGCUUUGAAGUGUGGACGCCAGUCUGCAUGGAGCCGACCUUGAAAUACCACCCUUUAAUGUUUGAUGUUCUAACGUGGACCCGUUACCCGGGUUGCGGACAGUGUCUGGUGGGUAGUUUGACUGGGGCGGUCUCCUCCUAAAGAGUAACGGAGGAGCACGAAGGUUGGCUAAUCCUGGUCGGACAUCAGGAGGUUAGUGCAAUGGCAUAAGCCAGCUUGACUGCGAGCGUGACGGCGCGAGCAGGUGCGAAAGCAGGUCAUAGUGAUCCGGUGGUUCUGAAUGGAAGGGCCAUCGCUCAACGGAUAAAAGGUACUCCGGGGAUAACAGGCUGAUACCGCCCAAGAGUUCAUAUCGACGGCGGUGUUUGGCACCUCGAUGUCGGCUCAUCACAUCCUGGGGCUGAAGUAGGUCCCAAGGGUAUGGCUGUUCGCCAUUUAAAGUGGUACGCGAGCUGGGUUUAGAACGUCGUGAGACAGUUCGGUCCCUAUCUGCCGUGGGCGCUGGAGAACUGAGGGGGGCUGCUCCUAGUACGAGAGGACCGGAGUGGACGCAUCACUGGUGUUCGGGUUGUCAUGCCAAUGGCACUGCCCGGUAGCUAAAUGCGGAAGAGAUAAGUGCUGAAAGCAUCUAAGCACGAAACUUGCCCCGAG
rnacentral:rRNA from 1 species